GGUCACCUCAGCAGCGUGGAACAGCAUGAGGUUUGGACCAUUCCCAGAGGGACUGAAGUGAGAAUUCCCCUUGGAGACACCCAAGGAGAACCAGGCCAAGCACAAUACCUGUGUAGGGUGAGGGUUCCUGGGACUGACUCAUUUUGGAUAAUCUGGAAUAACUCCAGGGAAGUCACCAGGGAUGGCAAAGGAGCAAACCCAGCAGGAAGUGAAACAGAAAUUAACCCUUGGCACAUGCCCAUGGAUUUAUCUGAAGGCAAUGGAUUUUAUUACACUGGCUUAAGUGGGCUUUGGAUGGAGCCUCUGGAAAAAGCAGGGAAAGGUUGCUAGAAUCCUUUCUGAGCUAAUUAAUCAAAUAUAUAAUAAAUAAAUCACCUGCAGUCACAGUCAGGUGCCUGG